rnacentral:lncRNA from 1 species
CUCAUGUUUUAUGCUUCUUCAAAAGAGCGUAAGAUUAUUCAAAGAGCAAUCUGCAUGGUUCUUACGUAAUAAAUUAGGAGUAUUAUUUCUAAAUAAAAGAUUUGUUUUUUUCAUCUAAUUACCUGAAGCAAUGCAUGUAUCAUUCUCCUAUUUUCAGCAUUCAAAGAAUUUUAGCUGUGCUUGGUCUUUAUGAGCAAAAAAACCCCCUUAGGCACUAUCUUCACAUCAGAGUUUGUCAAUCAUCCUAAAAUAAUGAAUAGAAGGAAGUAGCCCAUAAAGGUGCCCAACUAAGGCCUCUCAAUCUUCUAAUUUCCUUCUCAGUUCACCUGCAGAAUUGGAAACUGGAGACUCAGUCUCCCUUCACUCCAGUCCAGUAAUACUAGGGAAGACACUCAGAAAAAUGCCUGCAUGGCUGGUUUCAAAGAAAGGAUUCCUUCAGAACAGCUUUCCGUCUCCUUUCUCCGAGUACAGGUUACGAGCAAAGAAACGGCAACAUCAUUCUUUUAUCUGGUUCAAGCAUAACUUUGCUGGGCAAGUUUUUUUUUUGUUUUGUUCUUUUUUUUUUUUUUUUUUUUUUUUUA